UAGUAAUUGUAAUUUAUCUACAAGUUACAUGGUCAGAUAAAAUGUAUUUGUACAAUGCAACUAUGUAGUAGGAAUAUAGAAAUGACCAAAUGCAAUUGUGUAACAAACAGCAUAGAUGAACUCUGUGUUUAAUAGCUGCAGGAGAAGGGACAUCCAGUUGUACUCCAGGGACCAGGGACACACAGGCCAACACACAGCCUGCAUUAGGUGAUGAAGAUGAAGGGACAUCCAGGACCACACCAAGCACUCUGGGCGCCAGUGAAACACAGACAGCUGAGACCAGGGACACGCAGCCUGAAGGUGAAGGAACAUCAAUCACAACAUGCUCUGCUACUACACUGCCACCUGCAGAC